UUUACCAUUUCGGUAAAGUCACUGAGGGCACUGGAAAUCAUACGUUCGUAGUAAAACAAACUCAAAGUCUUCAAGAAGAUCUUCGUCAUCUCUUUCUCUUCCAAUGGAGGAUUAAUUUAGGCAACAAGUUCCCUCCACCUCUUAGCAUACUCUUUGAACGUCUCCUUAUCCUUCUGAGACAUAGACCUCAACUCGUCUCUAUCG
rnacentral:lncRNA from 1 species